UGUCAGUAUCAGUCCAGGUGGUCGCCUUCGCCACUGGUGUUCCUUCCUAUAUCUACGCAUUUCACCGCUACACAGGAAAUUCCACCACCCUCUACCAUACUCUAGCUUGUCAGUUUUGAAUGCAGUUCCCAGGUUGAGCCCGGGGCUUUCACAUCCAACUUAACAAACCACCUACGCGCGCUUUACGCCCAGUAAUUCCGAUUAACGCUUGCACCCUCUGUAUUACCGCGGCUGCUGGCACAGAGUUAGCCGGUGCUUAUUCUGUCGGUAACGUCAAAACAGCAACGUAUUAAGUUACUGCCCUUCCUCCCAACUUAAAGUGCUUUACAAUCCGAAGACCUUCUUCACACACGCGGCAUGGCUGGAUCAGGCUUUCGCCCAUUGUCCAAUAUUCCCCACUGCUGCCUCCCGUAGGAGUCUGGACCGUGUCUCAGUUCCAGUGUGACUGAUCAUCCUCUCAGACCAGUUACGGAUCGUCGCCUUGGUGAGCCAUUACCUCACCAACUAGCUAAUCCGACCUAGGCUCAUCUGAUAGCGCAAGGCCCGAAGGUCCCCUGCUUUCUCCCGUAGGACGUAUGCGGUAUUAGCGUCCCUUUCGAGACGUUGUCCCCCACUACCAGGCAGAUUCCUAGGCAUUACUCACCCGUCCGCCGCUGAAUCAGAGAGCAAGCUCUCUUCAUCCGCUCGACUUGCAUGUGUUAGGCCUGCCGCCAGCGUUCAAU
rnacentral:rRNA from 1 species